ACUCCUACGGGAGGCAGCAGUGGGGAAUCUUCCACAAUGGGCGAAAGCCUGAUGGAGCGACGCCGCGUGAGCGAAGAAGGCCUUCGGGUUGUAAAGCUCUGUCUGGAGGGACGAAGGAAGUGACGGUACCCCACGAAUAAGCCCCGGCUAACUACGUGCCAGCAGCCGCGGUAAU
rnacentral:rRNA from 1 species